GCAAAACUUGAGCAAGAAGAGUGCAGAGGUGAGCGCACAAUAUUUUUUCGAACCGGCACUGCGAAAUAUUCAGGACCCUAGAAUAAAGGCUGGUGGCUCGCUCGAUCGUUUAGUAUUGAAAGAGGAUUUUAAGUCUCACUGUAAGCGUUUAACUUUACAGACGAAAGGUUCGAGCAAAACUUACGCAAAAUGCAUGAGAACUGGCGUUAGAAAACGCCAAAUUAAACAAAAAUUCAGUAACGAAAGCCUACAGCUCGGACUGAUCCUGGAUACCAAAAUAGCCCCUUCAAUACUGAUUGCAUAGUGUACAAUCAAUAUUGCAUGGUGCACCGAUAGACUCAGAUAUCACGUUGCUUUUACAUGUUGGAGCGUUAGAGCAUUAUUCUGAGCUGUUCCUGACACCAUCCACAAAAGUGAAUUAGCAGGUGAUAUUUUGAAAUCGAAACUGAAACCUGUUCAGGCACCGCGCCCGUAGCGUCGCCACUAUCGCUGUUUACAGACAUGGCGUCGUGUUAUGCGGCGUGGGUAUCUCUGUGGUGAUGCAGUCGUCGUUUUGUGACUUUUUCUUCUACUACCUCGUGAUGUCGCUUUUACAUUGCGCUCAUUAACGAAGGAGGAACUUCUGGGCCAGAUAUGAUGCGUCAUACGCGAGGAACUAAUUCAACAGCAACCUACUGCAACACAACCUCGGUGAUUCCUUUGUUUGAUUUGCGUACGGGCGUGAUUCGUAGUCUUGGAGGAUACCGUCUUCAAAUGCUUCCGCACAGCAGUGAAAAGCAGUGCCGAAGUUCCUUCUCGACAACGCGCUCUGUGGCCAGGAGAAAUGCUUUGAAUUCCGGGUACAUCGGGAAGUCGGCACAUUGCCCCGAGACCAACGGACGCCCGGCAAUCGGCAGCGCGGCACAUCGCCAAAAGACGGACGGACGCGUGUUUUUCCUGCCAAAGAAAACCUGUUUUUUUUUCAGCCUCUUCCUCUGCAGAUGACGCUGGUGAUUAAUAUCUGUGAGCAGCACUGAUCUAUGGCUGAGUGAAGAGACAUAUAAGUAUGUGCAGAUUGGUGUAGGCAUUGUGAUGCCUUAUAACAGUGGCAGUAUAUUUAAAGUGUACAUCAGAUGCCAAGUGUGCAAUAGAUGUGGACCUGUGAACACCAGCGGAAGCUGGUGAAAGAGGCCUGACUGGGCAGGCCUGCCGCACAGUUUGGAUUCAACCGGAUAGCUUGCGGCAACACCAGAGAAAGUGGCUGCUGUGAAGAGUACAGAUUGGUGUGGGAUUUGUGAUGCCAGUCAAGUGGCAUUACAUACUAAAGUGUACCUCCGAAGCCAAGUGCGCAUUAGGUCUGGCACAGCACCUGUGGACACCAACACAAGCUGGGGAAAGAAGCCCGACUAGGCAGGCCUGCCGGACUAUCUCUGAUGCAUCUGGGAAGCUUCUGGCAACACCAGAGAAAGUGGUUGCUGUCAAGAACUGCCUGGAGAAGUACAUAGGGGAACAUCCGAUGGGGCCACCAGCACCACCUCCAGAGCACCGCCUUGCUUCUGUAAGGAAGCACCUUUGGAGCUUCUUCACAGAAGCGGGCGCGAGGGCAAGCGAGUAUGGAAGACGUGAAUCACCUUAACCUAUUGCAUUUUUUCAAUAAAGUGUGAAGAUAUGGAACAUA